GUCCCUGUGAAGAGCACUAGACCAGGAAGUGCCGUAUGACACUGUAAACAGCAGCCGCUUCUCUGCUUCUGCAAGUGUCCAUCUCUGUAUCAUAACCUCUGUGGUUUGCUCUGGGAUGGAAUACCAUUUGCACUGGCUUGAUUCAGCUGUGUGUGUGAUUUGAAACGGGUCUCUGAGGGAC
rfam:Triticum aestivum genome assembly, contig: Triticum_aestivum_CS42_TGACv1_scaffold_345568_4DL